UGCUCUUCCAGCAAUGCACAAGAGUGCCUGUGGCUGUUCAUCAUCCUCAUGGUUGAUACUACACUUACUAAAGAUCUUAGCAGCUCGUUUAUAUAUUUCGCUAUUUCCCCUACAUGAUGGCUGAAAUAUAGGAAAUCAAUGAAAUUUUGUCUAUGGGCCAUGUACUUUGCUGCUUGCUAUCUCCAUCCAUUCUGAUCAAGACAUAGGAGACACUGGAAAGAUACCAUGGACUAGGGAUGCCUGGUGGAUAUGUCUGUGGUGAGGACCAGAGCUUCCUUCUCCUUGGCACCUACCCAUGGAGGCUCUACUGUGGAUUCAGGAUGCCUGAGGUCCAUGUGAGGAAAACAUGAGGAAGAAACUUCCUGUGCACUGCCUGAUGGGCUGAGAAAUCAUGAACAUUUGAAAUAGACUCAGAAUUUGUUAAAGGGCAGAUGACAGCCAGCCUUGAGCCCUGAUGAUCCCAGGAUCCCAUCCAGUGGGAGAACUCUAAGUAUCAGUCCAAGAUUUUGAUUCCAUGACAUCCAGUCAUCAUGUCUCCAUAGACUUCUCUUGGGGUGACAGUUUCUAUGAACUUCCUUGUUCUGAUGACCUUGAGAGCAUUGAGGAUGACUUGUCAGAUACCAUGGACUGUGGAUGCCUGGUGGUAUGUCUAGGGUGAGCACUAGAGCUUCCUUCUCCUUGGCACCUACCCAUGGAGGCUCCACUGUGGAUUCAGGAUGACUGAGGUCCAUGUGAGGAAAACAUGAGGAAGAAGCUUCCUGUGCAGUGCCUGGUGGGCUGAGAAAUCAUGAACAUUUGAAAUAAAAUCAGAAUUUGUUAAAGGGCAGAUGACAGUCAGCAUUGAGCCCUGAUGAUCCCAGGAUCCCAUCCAGUGGGGGGAGUCUAAGUACCAGUCCAAGGUAUCUUUGGAGUCUGGAUGUGCAGCUCAGUAGCAGAGCAUUUGCCUGGCAUGUGGGAGGCCAUAGAGUCCAUCCCAGCACCACACACACAGAAGAUGUCUUUGACAGGACUCAAGCAUGAGAGGAGCUGUGUGCCUGAGAUCAAGGCCAAAGCUGAUAAGACUCCAGCACAAAGCCUUCUAAUGCAGGACAUUGCUAUAGCAGGUAGGCAUCCCGUGUCUUUUCACAGAAGUUUUCCUAGCAUCCAGGCAUUCCACAUCUUUGCACAGAAACUUCCUAGCCACCAAGUAUGCCACAUUCAUGAAGCCAUCAGAGACCCCAGUCCCAAACACAGAACCCUUACAAUUAAGGCCAAAGGGAAGCUGUUAUAUCAGUUUUACAUGCUAUAAUGUGGGCAUAAUAUUAGUUUUAAAACUGAAGAGCUGCCUGUGACCUUUUAAUACAAACAUACUAUGAAAUUAUAAUGAAUAUAAUAGCUCUUUUGUGGACUGUAUAACUAAUAUGGUAUCCAUAUUAAGGCAUCAAAAACUGACAUAGUAGCUGAAAUGUUUAAUUUAGUGUUAAUAUUAUAUCCAUACUAUGGACCUAAAACUAAUCACAUACCUUUCCUGUGGUCUUUCAUUUUAAUACAAUAUCCAUAUUAUAGCAUCUAAAACUAAUAUAAUAGCUGCCCUGUGGCUUUUAGAACUAAUAUGAUAUCCAAAUUAUAACAUUUGCCAAGGACCCUUAAUAUUAAUAUGAUAUUGAUAAACUAGCAUCUAAAACUAAUAAAAUAUUUGCCUGUGACCUUUAAUACUAAUAUGAUAUUCACAUAUACCACCUAAAGCAAUAUAUUAGCUUGCCUAUGGCCUUAAAUAUUAAUAUAAUAUUCAUACUGUGACAUAAAAAACUAUAUAAUAGCUACCCUGUGAAUUUUUUAAAAAUAUUGUUUUAGUUGUUGAUGGACACAAUUCCUUUACUUUAUUUAUGUUUUUUAAUGUGGUGCUGAGGAUUGAACUCAGUGCCUCACAUGUGCUAGGCAGGCACUCUACAAAUGAGCCACAACCCCAGACCAACUACCCUGUGACUUUAAUAAUAAUAUAACAUCCAUAACUUUUAAUAAUAAUAUAACCCAUAAAACUAAUAUUGUAAAUUCCCUGUGUAUUAUAUUAAUAUAAUCAUUAUAUUAUCAUUAUAUUAUUAUUAAUUAUUAUAUUAAUAUAACAUCCUUGGUAUAGUAUCUAAAACUGAAUAGCUCUUCUAUGGCCUUUAAUACUAAUAAAACAUCCAUACUAUAGCUGUUAAAAGUGGCAUAAUAGUUUUCUUGCAGCCUUUAAUAGUAUACUAACAUGAUAUCCAUACUCUACCAUCUAAAUAUAAUAAAAUAGCUUCCCUGGAGUCUUUAAUAAUAAUGUAAUAUAGUACUACAGCAUCUAAAACAAAUAGAAUAGCUGCCAUGUGGCCUUCAAUACUAUCUUAUUCAUAUUAUUAGAUAAUACUGACAAAGUAGCUGCACUGUGGAUCUUUAACACAAACAUGAUAGCCAUAUAAUGGCAUGUAAAACUGAUACAACAGCUGUCCUGUGACCUUCAGUACUAACUUUAUCCAUAUGAUAGCUUUGAAAAUCGAUAUAUUAUCUGCCUGUGGAUUUAGUGUUAAUAUUUUAUCCUUACUAUGGCAUCUAAAACUAAUUUAAUAGGUUCCCUGUGGAUUUUAGUACUAAUAUAAUAUUCAUAUUAUAGAAUCUAAAUCUAAUACAAUAUCUGCCUUGUGAUCUUUAAUACUAAUAAGAUAUCCAUACAAUAGAACCUAAAAUUAAUAUUAUAGGUGUCCUGUGGGCUUAAAUACUGAUAUGAUAUGAUAUUCAUAUUAUAGCAUCUUCAGAGCAGCACUUUUUAUUUUUUUUAUUUUAAAGAGAUCAAAUUGGGUGGGUGUGUAUAUACUAAUAUUUAUGACCUCUAAUACUAACAUAAAAUCCAAAAUAUAGCAUUGGAAACAGACAUAAUAGUUUCCCUAUGGCCUUUAAUACUAAUAUAAUGUACAUAUCAGAAUAUCUGAAACUGAUAUAAUGACUACCCUGUGCCUUUAGUAUUAAUAUGAUAUUCACACUAUAUCAUUUAAAGCUAAUGUAAUAGCUGCUCUGUGUUUUCCAAUGCUAACAUGAUAUUCACAUCAUAUCUAAAACCAACAUAACCACUGCCUUGUGCCUUGAAUACUAAUACAAUAUUCAUGCUAUACCCAAUAAAAUAAUGGCUACCCUUCAUCCUUUAAUAAUAAUAUGAUGUGAGUAUACUAGCAUCUAAAAUUGAUAAUAGCUGCUCCAUGGCCUUUAAUAUUGAUAUAGCAUAUAUACUUGGCUUAUGAAACUAAAAUAAUAGCUGUCCUUUGUUCUUUUAAUACAAACACAGAAUCCAUACUGUAGUAUCUAAAACUGAUAUAAAUAAUAGCUGCUCUGUGGCCUUUAUAACUAAUAUGAUUUCCAUAGUAUAGUAUCUAAAAUUAAUAUAAUUGCUGCUCUGAAGAAUUUAAGAUUAACACAAUGUGAAAACUGUAGCACCUAAAACUACUUGCUGUCCUGUGUACUUUAACACCAAUAUGGUAUCCCAUAUUAUAGAAUCAAAUAUUAUACAUUAAGUGUACUGUGAUUUUAAUAGUUAUAUAUUCAUACUGUAUCAACUAAAGCUGAUAUAAUAUCUGCCCUGUGAUGUUGAAUAAUUAUGCAAUAGCCAUACUGUCCAUACUAAAGUCUCUUAAACUAAUAUAAUGGUGAGUCUCUGGCCUUUAGUACUUAUAAAAACAUGUACACUUUAGCAUGUCAAACUGUUCUAAUAGCUGCCCUGUGGCCUUUAAUAUUAAUGUACUA